GGGUUGCGGACAGUGUCUGGUGGGUAGUUUGACUGGGGCGGUCUCCUCCUAAAGAGUAACGGAGGAGCACGAAGGUUGGCUAAUCCUGGUCGGACAUCAGGAGGUUAGUGCAAUGGCAUAAGCCAGCUUGACUGCGAGCGUGACGGCGCGAGCAGGUGCGAAAGCAGGUCAUAGUGAUCCGGUGGUUCUGAAUGGAAGGGCCAUCGCUCAACGGAUAAAAGGUACUCCGGGGAUAACAGGCUGAUACCGCCCAAGAGUUCAUAUCGACGGCGGUGUUUGGCACCUCGAUGUCGGCUCAUCACAUCCUGGGGCUGAAGUAGGUCCCAAGGGUAUGGCUGUUCGCCAUUUAAAGUGGUACGCGAGCUGGGUUUAGAACGUCGUGAGACAGUUCGGUCCCUAUCUGCCGUGGGCGCUGGAGAACUGAGGGGGGCUGCUCCUAGUACGAGAGGACCGGAGUGGACGCAUCACUGGUGUUCGGGUUGUCAUGCCAAUGGCACUGCCCGGUAGCUAAAUGCGGAAGAGAUAAGUGCUGAAAGCAUCUAAGCACGAAACUUGCCCCGAGAUGAGUUCUCCCUGACUCCUUGAGAGUCCUGAAGGAACGUUGAAGA
rnacentral:rRNA from 1 species